UACGUAGGGUGCGAGCGUUGUCCGGAAUUAUUGGGCGUAAAGAGCUCGUAGGCGGUGUGUCACGUCGUUCGUGAAAACCUGCAGCUUAACUGUGGGCGUGCGGUCGAUACGGGCAUCACUGGAGUUCGGCAGGGGAGACUGGAAUUCCUGGUGUAGCGGUGAAAUGCGCAGAUAUCAGGAAGAACACCUAUGGCGAAGGCAGCUCUCUGGGACGGUACUGACGCUGAGACGCGAAAGCGUGGGGAGCGAACAGG
rnacentral:rRNA from 1 species